AAACCAACCGGGAUUGCCUUAGUAACGGCGAGUGAAGCGGCAAAAGCUCAAAUUUGAAAUCUGGUACCUUCGGUGCCCGAGUUGUAAUUUGGAGAGGGCAACUUUGGGGCCGUUCCUUGUCUAUGUUCCUUGGAACAGGACGUCAUAGAGGGUGAGAAUCCCGUGUGGCGAGGAGUGCGGUUCUUUGUAAAGUGCCUUCGARGAGUCGAGUUGUUUGGGAAUGCAGCUCUAAGUGGGUGGUAAAUUCCAUCUAAAGCUAAAUAUUGGCGAGAGACCGAUAGCGAACAAGUACAGUGAUGGAAAGAUGAAAAGAACUUUGAAAAGAGAGUGAAAAAGUACGUGAAAUUGUUGAAAGKGAAGGGCAUUUGAUCAGACAUGGUGUUUUGUGCCCUCUGCUCCUUGUGGGUAGGGGAAUCUCRCAUUUCACUGGGCCAGCAUCAGUUUUGGUGGCAGGAUAAAUCCAUAGGAAUGUAGCUUGCCUCGGUAAGUAUUAUAGCCUGUGGGAAUACUGCCAGCUGGGACUGAGGACUGCGAC
rnacentral:rRNA from 1 species